GUCGGCGCAGGAUUGUGACUCAACCACGGAACAAACACUGUGAACGUUGAUCAUACAAAGAAUGGCGCUGAAUAAAUCAAUGCAUCCUCGAAACCGUUAUAAGGAUAAACCGCCAGAUUUUGUGUAUCUGGCUUCCAAAUAUCCAGAAUUUCAGAAACACGUGCAGACCACACUGACCGGCAGAGUGACACUGAACUUCAAGGACCCGGAGGCUGUUCGGGCUCUUACGUGCACCCUGCUGAAAGAGGACUUUGGCCUCACCAUUGAGAUCCCCCUGGAACGGCUCAUCCCCACCGUCCCACUCCGCCUUAACUACAUCCACUGGGUGGAGGACCUGAUCGGGGGGCAGGGGAACCCACGGAGGGGCAUCGACAUUGGUACUGGGGCCUCCUGUAUUUACCCCCUGCUGGGAGCCUCCAUGAAUGGCUGGUUCUUCCUCGCCACAGAAGUGGAUGACAUCUGCUUUAAUUAUGCAAAGAAAAAUGUUGAGCAAAACCACCUGGCAGAGCUCAUUAAAGUGGUGAAAGUGCCCCAGAAGACUCUACUGAUGGAUGCACUGAAAGACGAGUCCAUUGUCUAUGAUUUCUGCAUGUGCAAUCCUCCUUUCUUUGCCAACCAGUUAGAGGCGAAGGGGGUGAAUUCGAGGAACUCACGCAGACCUCCUCCCAGCUCCAUCAACACAGGAGGGGUCACUGAGAUCAUGGCUGAGGGUGGAGAGCUGGAGUUUGUGAAAAGGAUCAUCCAUGACAGUCUGCAGCUCAAGAAGAGACUUAGGUGGUAUAGUUGCAUGCUGGGAAAGAAGUGUAGCCUGGCCCCUUUAAAAGAUGAGCUGCGGAAACAAGGGGUGCCCAAAGUCACACACACAGAAUUCUGUCAAGGUCGAACCAUGCGCUGGGCCCUGGCUUGGAGUUUCUAUGAUGACGUUCCUGUGCCGUCUCCCCCCUGUAAGAAGCGUAAGCUGGAGAAGGUUCGUAAACCCCUAACCUUCAUUGUGCUGAGGCCCACUGUGGUGGAGCUGCAGGUCCAGGCACCCAGCAUCGGCUGCACCGACACCAGCCCCACAGAGAGUGUCUUUUCCUGGCUGGAAAAGAUACUGACAGACCUGAAGGUGCUUCACAAGCGUGUACUUUGUGGAGAAGCAGAACUUGGCCUCUUCCUGACAGCAGUGGAGAACACCUGGAUCCACACUCGCCAGAAGAGACGAGAACAGGGCCGGCAACUCCGCGAGCUUCCUAGAGCACCACCAAGCUCCGCCUGCAACACAGACACCUCCUCUCCAUCUGUACUCAGCACAAAUGCUCCUGCAACUGAGGGCAGCACCAACCCUCCUGACAGCAACGGGAAGGAAAAAGAGAAGCAGCAAAUCCCAGAGAAAGACGCUGAUGUCCCCAUGGAAUCCCCCACCAGCCAGGUACCCACCGAAGAGAAGGAAGCGGCUGUUAGCAGUCCUCAAAAUCCAGAGACAGUCCAGAACUUUCUCUUCAAGUGCCUGGUUAAUGUGAAGGCGGAGGAGAGUGAUGUGGUGGUGGAGAUGCAUUGGGUGGAGGGGCAAAAUAAAGAUCUGAUGAACCAGCUCUGUACCUGUUUAAAGAACUCUCUCUUUCGGCAGGUAGCCAAGCCCACUUAAGGCUUAAGCUUUGCUUUCCCCUUCCAACACAGAUUUACCACAGUCCACCCAUGCUGUGAGUCAAAGAACUGGUCAAGCUGCUAAUUUGACAAAACUACACACAACCAGAUGUUUUAUUAGCCAAGGAAGUUGGAGUACAAAUGUCCUGAGUUAAGCAGGGCUUCAUAACAGGAAGGCGGCAGUAACAGUCAGUGCGGGGGACCACGAGCAGAUAAUGUGUGCAGGGAGUCACGUGAAGUUUUCUCUGUAAACAGGCUCCUACUGUAAUUGCACUGGGGCUGUGUCUAAGUUAAACCAGGACUUUAUUCAGCAUUUGCAAUGCAUGUAAGAGUCAGAUGAAGGUAUGGGGAUUGAGCAGGUUUAUGAGUGUUUGCAUGCCCCUUGCUUUGACCUUUUUACGUGAUUAAAAGUAAAUGAUGAAUGA